rnacentral:rRNA from 1 species
AGAGUUUGAUCCUGGCUCAGGACGAACGCUGGCGGCGUGCUUAAUGAAUGCGAGUCGAGCGAGAACCAGACUGUUGAUUUCUUCGGAAUGAUUCGGUCUGGGGAGAGCGGCAAACAGGUGAGUAACACGUGGGUAACCUGCCCUUCAGACGGGGACAACCCACCGAAAGGUGGCCUAAUACCCGAUGGCGAGACAUCAGCAUAAGCUGAUAUCUCUAAAGGCUCCGGCGCUGAAGGAUGGGCCCGCGGCCGAUUAGCUAGUUGGUGAGAUAACAGCUCACCAAGGCAACGAUCGGUAGCCGGUCUGAGAGGAUGUCCGGCCACACUGGGACUGAGACAUGGUCCAGACUCCUUCGGGAGUUAGCAUCAGGGAAUCUUGCACAAUGGACGAAAGUCUGAUGCAGCGACGCCGCGUGGGUGAUGAAGGCCUGCGGGUCGUAAAGCCCUGUCAGGAGGGAAGAAAGCCGUCUUUGACGGUCUGACAGUACCUCCAGAGGAAGCCCCGGCUAAUUACGUGCCAGCAGCCGCGGUAAAACGUAAGGGGCGAGCGUUGUCCGGAAUUACUGGGCGUAAAGAGCACGUAGGCGGCUGAGCAAGCGGCAGGUGAAAUCCCAUGGCUCAACCAUGGAAUGGCUUGCCGAACUGCUCGGCUCGAGCACGGGAGAGGGCAGUGGAAUUCCUGGUGUAGCGGUGGAAUGCGUAUAUAUCAGGAGGAACACCGGUGGCGAAGGCUGCUGCCUAGAACGUUGCUGACGCUGAGGUGCGAAAGCUAGGGGAGCAAACAGGAUUAGAUACCCUGGUAGUCCUAGCCGUAAACGAUGGACACUAUGUGUUGGAGGUUCGACCCCUUCAGUGCUGAUAAGCUAACGCGUUAAGUGUCCCGCCUGGGGAGUACGGUCGCAAGGCUGAAACUCAAA